GAGUGGAGCCGCGCGGCGCCGUCGGGCGGCUGGCUGGUGAGGUUGAAGUCGGCGAUCUUGGACUCGUAGCCGUCGAAGAGGAGGACGUUGCUGGAGCGCACGUCCCGGUGCACGAUGGACGGCUGCACCUUCUCGUGCAGGUUACAGUUACAGCACCGGCUGGUGAUGGUGAUGGUGAUGGUGAUGGUGAUGAGCGCAGGACAGGACAGGACAGGACAGGGUAGGAUGCUGUACCGUGCAGGGUGUCGUGCAGGGAGCCGUUUGAGGCGAACUGGUAGACGAGGAUCCUGUGGCUGUCGUCCAGGUAGUAGCCCAUCAGCUGGAGGAAGUACUCGUUCUUGAGCCUCGAGACCAUCGACAGCUGCGCCGCCAGGAAACCAAACCGAUUUAUCAGACUCUUUUUUUUUCUGGUCAUCAGUGAAGAACUUGUGACCUGCCUGACUGACCUGAGAGGAGAAGUCUGAGAGGGAAUCGCUGGACACGCUGGGGUCGAGCUUCUUGAUGGCGACGGGCUCCCCGGAGGCGAGCACGGCCUUGUAGAUCUUGCCGUAGGAGCCUUCCCCGAUGAGGGCCUUCUGGCCGAAAUUCCCGGUGAUGCUGUUCAGCUCGCCCAUGGAUAUGGCCGGCACGUCGACGGGGAGGACCUUCGGCGGGCCGCCGGUCCUCGGCGCAUUGGGCCCUCUUGGCUUGCCGGGAGCUGGCAUUGCAGCAAAGCUACCACAUGAGUUUUUCAGGCACCGUGUGCUCAGAGAAUUCAGGUAUCAAAACUAGUUGCUAGCUUCGUCAUAUCACUCAGAGGAUGAAUUUGAUGUCAGAUGAUGUUGUCAAAGGCAACAAAAACUGAUCUACUGGAUCGUGCAACUGUACUGAACUCCUGAUUGCACGAUCAUAGUUCAGCCUGAAUCAUAAGUUCAGCGUUUGAAAUGCAACGGUUCAUAUGAAACGGCCCAUGAUGAAUUUUUGCAUCGGGUCCAAAGGUUA